rnacentral:rRNA from 1 species
UACGUAGGGGGGCUAGCGUUGUCCGGAAUCAUUGGGCGUAAAGCGCGCGUAGGCGGCCUCAUAAGUCCGUUGUGAAAGUCAAAGGCUCAACCUUUGAAAGCCGAUGGAUACUGUGAGGCUAGAGUCCGGAAGAGGCGAGUGGAAUUCCUGGUGUAGCGGUGGAAUGCGCAGAUAUCAGGAGGAACACCGGUGGCGAAGGCGGGUCUCUGGGCAACAACUGACGCUGGAGGAGCGAAAGCGUGGGGAGCGAACAGG